rnacentral:rRNA from 1 species
UAAGACUGGGAUAACUUCGGGAAACCGGAGCUAAUACCGGAUAACAUUUGGAACCGCAUGGUUCUAAAGUGAAAGAUGGUUUUGCUAUCACUUAUAGAUGGACCCGCGCCGUAUUAGCUAGUUGGUAAGGUAACGGCUUACCAAGGCGACGAUACGUAGCCGACCUGAGAGGGUGAUCGGCCACACUGGAACUGAGACACGGUCCAGACUCCUACGGGAGGCAGCAGUAGGGAAUCUUCCGCAAUGGGCGAAAGCCUGACGGAGCAACGCCGCGUGAGUGAUGAAGGGUUUCGGCUCGUAAAACUCUGUUAUUAGGGAAGAACAAAUGUGUAAGUAACUAUGCACAUCUUGACGGUACCUAAUCAGAAAGCCACGGCUAACUACGUGCCAGCAGCCGCGGUAAUACGUAGGUGGCAAGCGUUAUCCGGAAUUAUUGGGCGUAAAGCGCGCGUAGGCGGUUUCUUAAGUCUGAUGUGAAAGCCCACGGCUCAACCGUGGAGGGUCAUUGGAAACUGGGAAACUUGAGUGCAGAAGAGGAAAGUGGAAUUCCAUGUGUAGCGGUGAAAUGCGCAGAGAUAUGGAGGAACACCAGUGGCGAAGGCGACUUUCUGGUCUGUAACUGACGCUGAUGUGCGAAAGCGUGGGGAUCAAACAGGAUUAGAUACCCUGGUAGUCCACGCCGUAAACGAUGAGUGCUAAGUGUUAGGGGGUUUCCGCCCCUUAGUGCUGCAGCUAACGCAUUAAGCACUCCGCCUGGGGAGUACGACCGCAAGGUUGAAACUCAAG